rnacentral:lncRNA from 1 species
CGCUGGCCCAUUAUGACGUUUAGAAGUGCGGGUACUGUGACGUCAGCCUGUAAAAGUGAUCACGUGUGGACAAUUUCAUAGUUUUGACAAGACUAUAACUAAGGAUACGUCUGACAGACAUGGAGGGGAAGUUCAACAAAAAAUCAAUUUCAACUACUGGGGCUAACACUGAACACUGGGGUAGAGACGUUAGUGUGAGAGAGGAAGGGAUCAGGAUUGUUACCCACCGAGAGAGGAAAAAGACACAGACCUGGGCAGAGGAUGAGAAAUUCCUUGCGGAUAUGGAGCAGCUAUUGGAAGAGGCAGAUGCUUUAGUGAAAAGAGAGCAGAGGGCCGCAGAUGCCAGAGAUGGUAUUGCCCUGCGCAGCAAAAGGACAGCAGCACAGAGAAAGAGAGAGAACGAGGAAUUCCUCAAAGAGCUGGAUCAGCUGCUGGAUGAGCUUGAUGAAGACCCCUGGGAUGAAGGUGGCAGCCCCAGCAAGGAUGGAAGUAGGGCUGCUCCUCAGAUGAAGGAAACCGCAAUGACAGAUGACACAGAUGACACAAAUGACACAGACCAAGACCUUGAGAAGCUAAUGGACGAAAUUGAGAGGACUUAUGGCCAACCUGCCCCGCUGUCCGAACCUGACAGCAAUGACCAUGAGAACAGAAAGCAAGAAUAUCCAAGCAACUGCUCUAGACCAGAAAGCAAGGGCAACAGCACUGAGGCUGACCACAUAGGAGAGGAUGACACUGAAGGACUGGUCAGUGCUGAAGCUUAG